UGCAACAGGAUUCGAGGCUGCUUCCAGCAUGGCAGGCACGGCUAGUGUCAGCUCCGGUGUUGGCUGGCACUGUGGUUAGGGGGUGGACUAUGUGCUUGACUUAGACCCUUCAAGGAUGGUGGUGUUUCUUGCAGAGGAACCACCUCGAUGAUGUUUGGCUUAUCAUUGAUCUCUAUGGGCUUCAAGCUUAGAAGUAGCA
rnacentral:lncRNA from 1 species